rnacentral:rRNA from 1 species
AGGGUCCACGUACGUACGAGUUAGGGUACGACUACUGGGCUCAGGAUGAACGCUGGCGGCGUGCCUAACACAUGCAAGUCGAGCGAUUCUCUUCGGAGAAGAGCGGCGGACGGGUGAGUAACGCGUGGGUAACCUGCCCUAUACACACGGAUAACGUACCGAAAGGUACGCUAAUACGAGAUAAUAUGCUUUAGUCGCAUGGCUGAAGUAUCAAAGCUCCGGCGGUAUAGGAUGGACCCGCGUCUGAUUAGCUAGUUGGUAAGGUAAUGGCUUACCAAGGCGACGAUCAGUAGCCGACCUGAGAGGGUGAUCGGCCACAUUGGAACUGAGACACGGUCCAAACUCCUACGGGAGGCAGCAGUGGGGAAUAUUGCACAAUGGGCGAAAGCCUGAUGCAAGCAACGCCGCGUGAGCGAUGAAGGCCUUCGGGUCGUAAAGCUCUGUCCUCAAGGAAGAUAAUGACGGUACUUGAGGAGGAAGCCCCGGCUAACUACGUGCCAGCAGCGGC